rnacentral:lncRNA from 1 species
GGUGAUGCCACAGCCGUGACAAGCUCUUGAAAUUCUGGCGAAGGGUUUACGAAUACCCAGUCCAAGCGUGACGAUGCUCCAUCCAUUCUCCCGGUGGACAGGUGCCUAAAAUUUAAAUGCGGGUGAUGUAAGCCGUGUUUUUUUUUGGUUUCCGUUAUGAUAUCAAUGCGAUUAGGAUCGAUGAUGCUCUGUCGAUGAACUGUUUCCAUCCACAGACCAUUUCAGAUACAGGCGCCUCUCUGCCUGUCGACAACGCAGGAUAUGCUUGGAAUAUUAAAAAUUCACAAAGCAUCUGCAUACUUUGCAAUCCAACCCUGGACGUUCAUACGAGUCGUCGUCCCCAUGCGUCCACUUAGUUUAAUUGCAGACAGGCCGCCAGACAGCCAGUAGACAGUACAAGGUAGGUUCAUCUCGUUUCUUCAAAAAAAAAAAGAAGGUAGGUUCAUCUCCUCUUUUUCUGCAAAAGGAAGUUGCCGCCAUUCAGAUUCAGCACGUGCCCAAUGGAUCAGCAUCAGCCCGCCGCUGCCGGCCUGUCCGGCUAUCCUAUCCUAUCCAGGUGCGUUGAACCUCCUCGCCCGGGCCGCAACGGUGGCGAGCCCAUCCGGCGGGGGUUGGUAGGCCCACCCCGCCCGCACCCCCGCGCGCUCGUCGUCGACGGCGGAUGCGUUGCGUUCCUCCGGCGGUGGACUAUGCUGUGAAAUUGGAGCGUAGUGCCGGGGAAAAGGACGGACUUCACGUAGGAAAAAUGGGGCUUGACAGGGAUCUUUCCACCAUCCUUGUCUGCUUCUUUUAGGAAAAAAAAGAAGAGGGUUGUGUUUGCCGGUACUUUUUCCUUAAUUAACAAUUUGAGGUGCCCCACAGCUGGAUGAUCACUUACACUUUUCUUGAUUAGAAUGUACUCCGUGUGAAGAAUUAACAGUUUUGUGUGCUGUGAUGUCGGCUUGGCGAGAUCGUUUAUUAGGGAUAUUAGUAUUACUUUGUUGUCAUCCGGUAAUUAACCUAGAUUUGACUACAGUGUACUCCCUCCGUAUGUAUAAGGUAUGUAAGGAAUUUGCUUUUUUAUUUUGCUACUACUUUUUAUAAAGUUAUAAAUACAAAGUGUCUCUUCAAAUGUAGUUACUGUUCCUUUUUAAAAAAUGUAGUUACUGUAGGCCCUUUUUUUUUGGAAAAGUCCAAUUUUCACCCGUAGAACUUUGAUUUUCAACCAGUAGAAGUUUGAUUUUCAACCCACAACUACAAAACCGGACAGGGAGGAUCAUCCAACUAUCAAAACCGCGCAAAUUUGGCCGUUUGUGUGGUUUCAAGAGUGGUUCAUUUUAUAGAAAUUUAAAAAGUUUAGGUUUAAUUAAAAAAUUCAUAACAAACUCAUUUCAAACUAGAAAAAUAUCAAAUUAGUGCCAAAAAUUUUCUGAAAAUGUAACAUAUAUGUUGAUGUUCUAGUUGGCAUCAUUUGAACCUUAGUUGUUCAUGUUUCUUGUGUUUAUUAUAAGUAAUAAAACACUAGGAAUAGUAACAAAUAUGAUGUAAACAACUCCAAAUAGAGUACCAACAAAUAUCCUAAAUUUUUAGAAAACUUUUGGUACCAACUUCAUGUUUUUUAGAUUUGAAAUGAAUUAGUUAUGUUUUUUAUUGAAUCAAAAAAUUUUGAAUUUCUAUAAAAUGCAAAACCACCCUCGAAACCACGCAAAGGGUCAAAUUUGCCUAGUUUUGAUAGUUGAAUGGCCCUCUUUGUCCAGUUUUAUAGUUGUGGGUUAAAAAUCAGACUUCUGCUAUAGUUGGAGGUUGAAAAUUGGAGUUUUUCCCUUUUUUUCUGGUUAGUAGUUGUGAUCAGCACUGGAAAAUACAACUUUAACGUUUUGGACAUAGAAUUAAUGCAGGCCAAUUGCUUCCGUAGGUGCAGUAGUAAACUCGUAGGGAAAAAAUUUCACAUCACGCAUCAACAAGACACGCACAAUCAUAAUUAAAAUUUUUGGAUUUGAAUGCAUUCCUUAUGGUUUCUAGCCGUUUCCUAGGAUUUGAAACUCCAUGGAAAUGAGAAAAUUUAAGUACUGAGUGGCUACCGAGUUGCCGAGUUCUUCUAGGUAGCGAUGGGGUUGUUAAAGAAACAGGAUAUGCAUGACUUCUUUGUGUCUUUUACUAUGUGUUGUACCUGGGCUAAGGGGCACUAGCCCCCUCCUGAUGGCCAAGAGAGCAGGAAGACGAGGAGAAAAGAGGGAAAUGAAGAAGAAAAAGAGGAAGAAGGGAGGUGUAGAUGGAGGUAGAAGAAGCAAACUCCACCUAAGCUUGAACCCUGCCUCCACCACUGGUACUUUGUAUUUUUAUUUUCCUUUAGCAAUCCAUCAUGUCUUUUUUUAAAAGUAUUACAUACAUAAAAUCGCAUGUGUAGAAUAUUUUUUUAAUCGAUGUUAGAUUUCUAGAUUUGUGCGUAAGGUGAACGUACGUACAUGAAUAUUAUUACGAAACUUAGAGCAUUGGGCGUGUGGUGGCCGUGGGCCGCGGCACAACUUAUUGCUUCCCGCCCAUUUCACUACCUACUCCAGAAUGAUCCCAUUGUUGCUGUGGCGUGGUGUGCUCAGAAUCGAUCCCUGUCACUCGAACCAAACAAAAGCUGGACCGAACAAAGAUCGCUUUCCAAGUUCCAGGUUCUCACGAGGUCACAGCGCAAUGUUCGACGGCGACAGAAUCCGCCGAGGAACGUGACGAAGGUCAGAGAGGUAGGCCGUAACCCGUAGCCCGUAGGCAUAUCCAGGGAGUGGAGAAGAGAUAUCCACCGCGCCCGGGCGGCGAGUGACGCCAGCGCCGACGCAAUUCAAACCUGCCAACCGUGGUGUUCCUUGAGCGCGAAGGCGCCCGUCACGCCGUCGCCGCGCGCGGCCGUACGGGCAGCGCAUGCAUCGUGUCCUUGACUGGACCAAAUCCUGGCGGCAGCUGGCCUGCACGUCGAUCAUCAUCGCCAUCUAUUCACCUACCCCAUCUCGAUCGGCGUCUCGCUGCUGGCCAGCCGCGCGUACGUGCGCCCCGCCGAGUCAUAUCUUCACGUGUGCGCCGCUGAUGUGUCGACCGGCCGGCGAAGCUCGAUCUGUCCCGUGACGUUGGAUCUGUGGCUGGCUGGCUGGCUGCGGCGCCGGCGCCAUUGUGGUCUUGGUCUGAGUCAGAUGUUUAUCAAACGAGGACUGCGCCAUUGGGCGGUGGCACUACCGCCCUAGACUGUUCUGCGGCGCAUGCAUGAGGUGCGUGAAUGGACAUGGCUUGAGGUCAUCCUGAAGGGAGCGAAAAGAUUUGAUAUCGGUAACGCCCUUUGUCAGGACUUUUACUGCAGCUUCUUCUACAGCUUCAGGUGAAGCUGUACCAAACGGGCCAAAAAAAUAGUUUCUCAUGCUAAGCUUAAAGAAGUCGGUCUGGGGUUUAUACUAGAGGUGCGGAGUUGAAAAAACUAACUUCCCACGGCUCGACCCCUCACCCCCACCUUUCGGUACGAAACUGCCCCCACCUUAGUUGUAAUUACGGCAAAAUUGCCACCGCAUACCUCCGAACGGAUAAGCCUCGUUCCGAACUAAAUGGUCAGAAUUCUAUUAGUAUUAAAAUUACGAGUUUUUCUCCAAUGGUCCAUCCCAUAAAAACUGCACGGAUCUAAAAGUAAAGAGAUAAUUCGUUUAAUUAAUUUUGUUAUGGAUCAUCGUUGGAUCCAGCCCUACUGCUGUCCUAUUGGACCCGAUCCAUGCCCGAUCCAGGUUAGUUUGGAUCUUAUCCUACCAUUCGCUCGUGCCGAUUGCCGAAUGGACGAACGGCGGGUGGCGCAGUGCCAUCAUAGGUGGUGACGCUCGGCGGUGGCUCUCUAUGCCAUCCCCGGUCCCUGUGCAUCGCGGUUUGGUCUCCACCCUGAUCCGCUGGUUCGCACGCAGCACGCACCCUGGAUCAGGACCAGCGCUGCCACCCCGCCUCUUCCCCACUCCGGUUUCAUCAUCAGCAAUCAAGGCGCAUUCCUACGAGACCGAAUGGAGGCAGAGCUCCGUGGCCUGGAAGAGUACAUCGCAAAGAACAAGGCCAACAAACUACAGCCUACAACCUGCAUUGCUUCCUGAUGUGGAGUUUUUUUUAUUGUUUAUGUGAACCACAUUUAAAUUCUUAAACUGGACAUAUGCACUUCGCUUAAAGAGAUCUCUUCCAGUACACUAAGGCCCUGUUUGGGAUGGCGGGCGCGCGGCGGCGGUCACGUACCGCGGCUCCGCGGCCGCAUCUCACGGUACGCGGCCCCGUUCAAAACCCGUGCCAUUUUGUCACUGGCGGCGGGCGGCCCUGCGGUAACCGUACGGCGUUCGGCAGGAUUAUUCCCGCGGUCGCCGCGGCCGCCGCCACACCGCUGUCCCAAACGGGACCUAAGGUUCCUUCCUGUAACCUGUAAAGAAGAAACUAGCCGUUCAAACCAAUACUAGCGGCAUAGCCGGUUUUGCUGCUCCGAUCAAUACGUAGUGUUCUCAUUUCACUAGCACGAAGACAAAAGCACGAAGACAAAAGUGUAUUCUAAAUUUGAUAGGAAACAUAAACAAAAAACAAUGUAAUAUGUGAGAAGUACAUUCCCGGAAUCAGAUUUUGUGCAGAGAAAAGUUAGCUUAUUUUCUGCACACAACGCAUCAAAUUGUAUGUUGCAGAGCAAGACACAUUGUGAUCAGUAAUAACAUUUCUCGUUGAGAAAUGCCCUGGAUAUUUGAUUUGAGCAACCUCUGGCAAUGCAUUUGAUAUAGCUAAUUUCUGAAACUGUACGCACAUCUAAUGGAAUUAUAUAUUUAGUUCCGGUAAACAGAAAAACACACAUAUGCCGAUCAUUUGAACAAAGAAGAUGGAUCCCAGGAAAAAAGAGUUACAUCAGUACAUUUAAGGAAAAGUAUAUUAGCUUAUAGCUGAUUGCCGAGAAGGAAAAUGAGAUUUAGAUAGCCCCAUGCAAAUCCAUUUGACAAAAAUAGGCAAUUAGAGAACAUAUUUGUCGUGUCCGCUUCAUCUUCCUCCUUAUCGUAGUCGCCGCAGUGUUGCCAUCCUGGGAAUCUAGCGCGUGGACUGGGCUGGCAUCCUGGAGCACGGGGUCACGGCGAUUACCAUCCGGAGGUCAGGAGGUUGCGCCAAGGUAAAAUGGAAUGGAGAGGAUGAAAGGGGAUGCUAUGUGGAUGUCCAUGCGCCACCGCCGACGCAAGCUUCAGUCUUGCGACGAAAUAAGCCGGCACACUGUUUGCAUGAGAACCGAGAGAAACGGAUCAUGGAACGACGACGUCCAGUCCCUCUCAUUGGUAUGGGCCAGGUUCCUGUCGCGUCUGGCAAUGUCGACGCAUCACAGGAGUGAAGACGGGAAGUAUCAGGGGCGUCUUCGCUAUACCGGGAUUAAUGUGUGUAGCGUUGUGUGUGUGUGGCGGGCGCCGUUUGUGGGCCCAGCCGUCAGAGAGUCAGAGCGAAUGGGUUUUAUUGCUGUAUCGUGUAUGACAAUGGGAUCAUCUUCAUUCUCAAGAAAUAGAACUCUGAACUCGUGAAGGAAACUUUCCUUGGCGAUUUCCUAUCUUCCCUUUCCGAUCCCCUCUCGUCCACUCACGUCGCCGGUGAACGCCGACGGCCAAGGGAUACGACAGUUGGUAUCAGAGACGGGCUAUCCUCGGCGUGCGCUCGCUGUUUCCGCAAUACUCCGUCGAUCUGAACCGGACUCAGCACAGGCUUGUUGAGAUCUCGGGGUUUGCCGCGCAGCACCGGCGACUCCGAUUGAUUUCCCGUCAGUCCUCGCUACCCCGGUUCGAUUUGCGGGCGGGCAACACGGCGCCACCGAAACCUUCUGUGCAAACUCGCUUUGUCCUCGGCGCCAUGGACACGGCGGACCAGAAGGAUACGGCGCGUUGGCAGCAAAUGACGGACAGCAUCGAUCUGCUCUUCGCGCGCGUGACUGAAAUUGGUCGCGUACAGGAGCAAAUGCAAGUCAAUCAAGAGCUGGGCGUCAAGGCAAUGGAACAAGUAUUGAAAGAUCAGGCUAUAUUGUCCAAGCAGAUUGAGGAGACGGGGAAGGCAGUCUCGCAGCUCACCAUGGACCGAGCAGGGGAGGACGACUUCGACGCGUUCUCUGUCAACUCCAUGGGGUCCAGACCACCACAGCAAUUUCGUCCCCCACGCCCUCCUCCUCCACAACCCCCUGGUGAGACGCACACUACCCGUUCGAUGUUUGGUCUCCACCGUGGUACAGGUGACGGGCCCUUGGGAUACAAGAAUGCAGUACCUAAAUUGAAUUUCCCAGAAUUCCAUGGUCGGGAUCCCAAGGUCUGGAGGCAUAGGUGUGAGGAUUUCUUCAAAUUCUAUAAUGUCCCUGAACAUCUCUGGAUUACUACAGCUACUAUGCACAUGAAGGAUAAUGCUGGGAGAUGGGUGGAAGUACAGAGGUUAAAAGGGGAGCUUAACACUUGGGAAAAGUUUAUGAGUGCCGUGGAAACUAAAUUUGGCGCCUAUGAUUAUGUUCAUGCAUUGACUGAACUUUUGGAACUCAAGCAAACAGGAUCUGUGGAUGAAUAUGUCUCUGAGUAUGAAUCCCUACAAUUCCUCAUUGAGAUGCAUAAUACAAGCUAUGAUAAGAUGUUUUUUAUUACUCAGUUCAUAAGAGGUCUCAAGCCUGAGUUAGCUGCUGUGGUUCAGUCUCAAUUACCCCACAACAUGGAAACAGCUGUUAGAAUUGCAAAAGUUCAGGAACAAUUGUGGGACAGAGGAAAGUUCAAACACUCAAAAUUUAAUUCAAGCUCAAAAGGGUACCUGAACACCACUACCAAGUAUGAUCAGAAACCACCGCCUGCUAUUCCUUCUCACUUGAGUAAAGAGAGGCAAAAAAGGGAUUUCUGUAAGGCAAACAACCUUUGCUUCUAUUGUUCAGAGCCUUUUGACCCAACUCAUCUUGCUAAGUGCACUAAGAGACCAAAACCACAUUUGAAUGCCCUUGUUGUGAAUGAUUUGGAUGUGACUUUGACAGAUGAAGUCUUGCAACAGCUAGAGAUGGAAGAUGCCUUAACUGCUGAGUUCUGUCACCUAUCCUUGAAUGCAAUUGCAGGCACUGAUGAAGGUGAAGCAAUGAAACUUCGAGCAUUAGUGAAAAAUAAGGUCAUGUUGAUAUUGCUGGACAGUGGAAGCUCUCACAGUUUUGUCAGUUCUUCUUUCCUCCAGAAGUGUGGUGUCCAACCAACACCAAUGCAGCCCAAGCAAGUGAAAGUGGCCAAUGGGGAGACUCUGAUAACAAAUACAUAUGUGCCUCAAAUGGAAUGGUGGAUUCAGGGAUACACCUUUCACACUGAUAUGUAUGUAUUGGAGCUGGGAGCAUUUGAUGCAAUUUUGGGAUAUGAUUGGUUGAAACCUCAUAGCCCAAUGACCUGUCACUGGGAGAACAAGACUCUGUCUUUUGAAGAUUUGGGCAACACAGUUUUCCUUCAAGGGGUGGUGCAGUCUCAACCUUCUCUACAAGAGAUAUCUUCAGAUAAAUUGGUCAAGUGGAUGGCUUGGAAUGAUAUUGGAGCCCUGGCAGUGGUAGAGGUAACAGAUCCUACUUCUCUCAAUUUUAUACCUGAACCAGUGCAACAACUAUUGGCUUAAUACAAUGAUGUGUUUGAGGAUCCUAAAACUUUACCACCAUCUAGAUUCCAUGACCACCAAAUUCCCUUACUGCCCAAUUCUAUACCUAUUAAUUCUAAACCAUACAGAUACUCACCCCUGCAUAAAGAUGAGAUAGAAAAACAAGUCAAAACUUUGCUAGAAGCAGGCCUAAUUGUACCCAGCACUAGUCCUUUUGCUUCCCCAGUUUUGUUGGUCCAAAAGAAAGAUGGCACUUGGCGCUUCUGUGUUGAUUAUAGGAAGCUGAAUUCUGUUACAAUUAAAAAUAGAUAUCCUAUGCCAAUUAUUGAUGAGAUCUUAGAUGAGUUAGCUGGUACCAUGUAUUUUACUAAACUUGACAUGAGAUCUGGGUACCAUCAAGUGAGAAUGCACCCUGCAGAUGAACCUAAAACAACAUUCAAAACUCAUCAUGGGCACUAUCAAUUCAGAGUUAUGCUUUUUGGAUUGACUAAUGCUCCAGCUACAUUUCAGUGCAUUAUGAAUGAGCUAUUAGAACCUUUUCUGAGAAAAUUUGUAUUGGUUUUCCUGGAUGACAUCCUUAUUUAUAGCCCUACUCUGGAGUUACAUCUUAUUCAUCUGAGACAAGUGUUGACAAAAUUGAGAGACCACAAAUUUUAUAUGAAACUCAGCAAAUGUUCUUUUGCUCAAAAUUCCCUGGAAUACUUGGGGCACAUAAUUUCUCAUCAAGGUGUGGCUACAGAUCCUAGCAAGACAACUACAAUGGUGAAUUGGCCAGUACCCACAACAGUCACUGAAUUGAGGGGAUUCCUGGGACUUACUGGUUACUAUAGUAGAAAGUUCAUUAAACAUUAUGGCAUCAUUGCUCGACCUUUGACUAAUUUGUUGAAGAAGAAGCAAUUCACCUGGUCUGACUCAGCACAACAGGCUUUUACACAGCUCAAGACUGCCAUGGUUAAUGCACCUGUGUUGGGGCUUCCUGAUUUUAACAAGCAAUUUAUUGUGGAAACAGAUGCUUGUGAUGUGGGAGUAGGAGCUGUGUUAAUGCAGGGAGAUCAGCCCAUAGCAUUUCUGAGUAAAGCUCUAGGACCUGUUCAUCAGAAAUUAUCCAUAUACGAAAAAGAAUUUUUGGCCCUCAUAAUGGCAGUUGAAAGAUGGAGAUCUUAUUUACAGAGACAAGAGUUCCUAAUCAGAACUGACCAUAAGAGCUUGUCUUAUUUAUCUGAACAAAACCUGCACUCUGAAAUGCAGAGAAAAGCCAUGACUAGGUUAAUGGGCCUGCAGUUUAAGGUCAUCUAUAGACAAGGCAAAGAUAAUCUGGCUGCUGAUGCUUUGUCCAGAGUAAGUCACUUGUUGGCCAUUCAGGCUGUUUCAGAAGUUCAAUCACUUUGGGCUCAGGAGGUGAUCAACAGCUAUGCUACUGACUCUUUGGCUCAACAGAUGCUAGCACGAUUAGCAGUGAAAUCACCUGAUGAACAUGGAUUUUCUCUACACCAAGGCAUCAUUAAGUACAAGGACAAGGUAUGGAUUGCUCAUAAUUCGGCCCUACAAACAAAAAUUAUUGCUGCUCUCCACUCCACAGCAAUUGGGGGACAUUCAGGCACUCAAGCUACUUAUCACAGGAUAAAGAAGCUUUUCCACUGGAAAGGACUUAAGGCAGAUGUGGAGCACUUUGUGAAACAGUGUUCCAUUUGUCAACAGGCCAAGCACUCUAAUACACACCCUGCAGGGCUUUUGCAACCCUUACCUAUUCCCAGUGGAGCUUGGAAAGAUUGGACAAUGGACUUUAUAGAGGGUCUUCCUGUGUCUGAAGGGUUUAACUCCAUUCUGGUGGUGGUGGAUAGGUACACAAAAUAUGCUCAUUUCAUUCCUUUGAAGCAUCCUUUUACAGCCCAAACUGUAGCCAGAGCAGUUCUGGACAGUGUGGUGAAGUUGCAUGGAUUUCCCAAAUCUAUUGUUUCAGACAGAGAUAGAGUGUUCACCAGCGCAUUUUGGAAAGAAUUAUUCUCUCUGUUUGACACUAAAUUGCUGAGAAGCACAGCUUAUCACCCCCAAACUGAUGGACAAUCUGAGCGCGUCAAUCAAUGUUUAGAAAUGUACCUUAGAUGUGCAGUUCAUGACACUCCAAAAUGUUGGAAGGCCUGGUUGUCAUUGGCUGAAAUCUGGUACAAUUCUUGUUACCACACAGCCAUUGGGUGUUCUCCAUUUAAGGCUCUAUAUGGGUAUGAAGCUGAUUCUGGGAUGGCACUUCCUGUGGACCAUAUGGCUCAAUCUGACGCAGUGGAUCUUGUCAAGACCAGACAUAACCAACUUCUGCUUCUUAAAGAAAACCUUGCAAAAGCUCAAAACCGUAUGAAACUCUUGGCUGAUCGUCAACGUGUGGAAAGAAGCUUUCAGGUGGGAGAGCAAUUGUUGUUGAAGCUUCAACCUUAUGCUCAAACAUCAGUUGUCAACCGACCUUUUCCCAAAUUAGCUUUCAAGUACUUCGGUCCAUUUGAAGUUCUGGAGCGCAUUGGGCAGGUCGCGUACAAGCUCAAGUUGCCGGAAGGCAGUCUUAUUCAUCCUGUUUUUCAUGUUUCCCAGCUCAAACCAUUCAUUCCCAACUAUACACCAGUCUAUUCUGAUCUGACGACUCUGGUGGAUCUCAGCACUCAGGACCUACAGCCUGAACUGAUUCUGGAACGACGCCUCGUAAAAAAAGGUAACAAAGCUAUUCCACAGGUACUGGUGAAGUGGAGCAAUCUGCCUCAGGCGUCAGCAACAUGGGAAGAUUGGCAUGUGCUGUUGACAAAGUUUCCAUCGGUGGUUACUUGUGGGCAAGCAACGUCUUCAGCAGGGGGAGGUGUCAUGUCUGGCAAUGUCGACGCAUCACAGGAGUGAAGACGGGAAGUAUCAGGGGCGUCUUCGCUAUACCGGGAUUAAUGUGUGUAGCGUUGUGUGUGUGGCGGGCGCCGUUUGUGGGCCCAGCCGUCAGAGAGUGAGAGCGAAUGGGUUUUAUUGCUGUAUCGUGUAUGACAAUGGGAUCAUCUUCAUUCUCAAGAAAUAGAACUCUAAACUCGUGAAGGAAACUUUCCUCGGCGAUUUCCUAUCUUCCCUUUCCGAUCCCCUCUCGUCCACUCACGUCGCCGGUGAACGCCGACGGCCAAGGGAUACGACAGUUCCGUAUGGGAUGGGAUAGGGCCGGGCCCAUACGAGACCCAGAAUAAAAUAUUAAUAAUAAAAGUUAAUCAAUUACCUCUUUGCUUUAAAAUUCGUGCAGUUUUCUUGGAAAGGACCACCGGAGCAAAACUCUAAAAUUACAACUCAAUGUAUCACACAAUAGAUCUUAGUAUAUCUUACUGCUAAUACUUGAAAAAGCUAUAAAAAAAAAGCGUAACAUUUCGACAAAGCAUAUCAUUGCUGAUCCAGAUAGAACGAAAAUACCGGCAACUCUAGCUAGCUGGGUUAUCGAUAUCGGUCACAACGACCUAACUGUUUUGAGCUACACCGCCAUGGACAUUUUCCCGUAGUCGUCGGCGCAUGAGGCCACGAGCUCAUACAAUUCCAUUCCGUUGCUUGCCUCGGAGCAGCGCCGCCGACUGAUUUGAUGCAUUGCCCUGCGGGCCUGCGGACAGCCCACCAAGUGGCAAGACGCAUGGCAUGGUGAAUCGCAACCGGCCGGUUGGUGGAGCACGCACGCCCGCUGCAAGGAAAGGGUCAUGCAUCACGCACUGGAUCCCGGUGUGUUUCAGAAUUCAGAGACGUUUAGCACGUUGCGCACAAGGGCUGCCCUGCAGCAGUUGAAUAGUCGAACCACAUGCCUCUUGCGGUUAAGGGCUAGGGCGCCCAAGAAGAUUCCAACCGGGUAUCCACUGCACAAUUAUGAUAUGAUGAAUGUUUUUUUUCUAUUCUUUUCCCUCAAAAAGAGGCUUUGCUUCUCUACCUUUUUCCCUAGAGUCGAACCCUCUGCUUGACGAUUAACGUAGGCCAUUGAUUGCAACUUGCUAACCGAGCUGUUGUGAUCUUGAUUGGUAAUCAACGGUUGUUGGCAUUGUGCAUCAGAGGGUGCAGAGAAACGAAGGGGAUGAAAUCCGUCCAAAUUUGGUACCUCCAAUCCAAAAAAACAAAAAAAAAACAGAGAGAGUAGAUUCGAUUUGGAAGGAGAUACUAGUAAUGGAUAGGGUGGUCUUUUCAUCUGCAAACAGAUUUAAAUAAAGGGCUAUCAGAGCAGGACGGUAGUGCAAAAAUGAACUUGGGCCUCAACGAAAGGACGGCAAAGAACAUCCUCUCUGGCCGGCCGAUCGGCCGAAAAGAAAAAAAUGUGCAUCAUGUGGAUUAGGAGGGAAAAUACAAGCAUCCAAAAUGAAUGAUUCCAGUUAUGUCACGCAUUUAAUGUAACCGAAGCAUGAGAAACAUUGCCAAAUGCUUGUGUCGUGACUAAAAACUUUUUCGAUCGAAACAAACAUGAUGCGACUGCGUGGGAAGUUUUUUCCACGCAUUUCGGCUUCUGUCAUCUUUGAGACUUUCAGAGAAAGCCUAUUAAUCGGUUAGACUGAAAUCAAGCUGCUCCUAGCGUGCUGUGCUGUGUGGACAGCGGUGGCAUUCAUCAGGCCAUGUUAAUCAGCUGCCGCGCUGGCACAGGACAACCUGCGAAAUGAAGAGUGUACGUAGAGGAUUUGUGGAAAAGACUCAUUUAUUGCUCUUUGCCAGUCUAUUUGAUGAAAGCCUUCCUACAAGUUUCUUCAUUUGUUGGAAUCCCUGAGAAAAACGUCGACUUCAAAAUCUCGGCAUAAUAAAGCAACUCAAUUUAGUCAUCGGCACUGAUCGAAAAAGAUCAAUGAUAAAACGUCAGUAACAUAAUUUUCCACACCAUCAACGAAACCAAACUAUUAUGCAUGCAUAAAACCGUCCAUUUCACAAGUACAUUUUGCAGUUAAUUUAAAAUGCACAAUUCUAUUGCUGUACACCACAGGAAAAAUCACCACAGUACGGCAAAAUGUGUUAAUACUAAAUAGCAUAGCCCUUCAUGGACUAGCUUCUACAAGGAAAACAUCUAGCUAGCUCUCACCUAAACUGCACCCAAAGGC